CUCCAGAAGAACUCCAGGAUGAGACACCACUCAAAAUGAGGAGAUAAGAUGGCAGCUAAGUAUAAGGUCCUGUCGACAAAAAGAGGAUGACAUAAGGCACCAAUCCAAAUGAGCAGUUAAAAUGGCGGGAGGCCUGACAUUCACAGAACCUUCAAGAACCAGUGUGGCUUCCAGAUCCAAUGCGGCUUCCAGAUCCAAUGUGGCUUCUAGAUCCAAUGUCUCUUCCAGAUCCAAUGUGGCUUCUAGAUCCAAUGUCUCUUCCAGAUCUAAUGUGGCAUCCAGGACAAUAUUAAAACGGAGACGAAAACCACCUCCCACAAAGGGUAUGUAUGCAGCAC